UGGGGAAUAUUGCACAAUGGGCGCAAGCCUGAUGCAGCCAUGCCGCGUGUAUGAAGAAGGCCUUCGGGUUGUAAAGUACUUUCAGCGAGGAGGAAGGGUGGUGUGUUAAUAGCGCAUCACAUUGACGUUACUCGCAGAAGAAGCACCGGCUAACUCCGUGCCAGCAGCCGCGGUAAUACGGAGGGUGCAAGCGUUAAUCGGAAUUACUGGGCGUAAAGCGCACGCAGGCGGUCUGUCAAGUCGGAUGUGAAAUCCCCGGGCUCAACCUGGGAACUGCAUUCGAAACUGGCAGGCUGGAGUCUUGUAGAGGGGGGUAGAAUUCCAGGUGUAGCGGUGAAAUGCGUAGAGAUCUGGAGGAAUACCGGUGGCGAAGGCGGCCCCCUGGACAAAGACUGACGCUCAGGUGCGAAAGCGUGGGGAGCAAACA
rnacentral:rRNA from 1 species